rnacentral:rRNA from 1 species
CCGAGGGGAUCAGUGGCGAACGGGUGAGUAACACGUGAGUAACCUGCCCCGGACUCUGGAAUAAGCGCUGGAAACGGCGUCUAAUACCGGAUACGAGACGCAACCGCAUGGUUAGCGUCUGGAAAGUUUUUCGGUCUGGGAUGGACUCGCGGCCUAUCAGCUUGUUGGUGAGGUAAUGGCUCACCAAGGCGACGACGGGUAGCCGGCCUGAGAGGGCGACCGGCCACACUGGGACUGAGACACGGCCCAGACUCCUACGGGAGGCAGCAGUGGGGAAUAUUGCACAAUGGGCGAAAGCCUGAUGCAGCGACGCCGCGUGAGGGAUGACGGCCUUCGGGUUGUAAACCUCUUUCAGCAGGGAAGAAGCGAAAGUGACGGUACCUGCAGAAGAAGCACCGGCUAACUACGUGCCAGCAGCCGCGGUAAUACGUAGGGUGCGAGCGUUGUCCGGAAUUAUUGGGCGUAAAGAGCUUGUAGGCGGUUUGUCGCGUCUGCUGUGAAAAUCCGGGGCUCAACCCCGGACUUGCAGUGGGUACGGGCAGACUAGAGUGUGGUAGGGGAGACUGGAAUUCCUGGUGUAGCGGUGAAAUGCGCAGAUAUCAGGAGGAACACCGAUGGCGAAGGCAGGUCUCUGGGCCACUACUGACGCUGAGAAGCGAAAGCAUGGGGAGCGAACAGGAUUAGAUACCCUGGUAGUCCAUGCCGUAAACG